CGAGGGAGCCGCGGAGCCCCGGAGCCACGGAGCCCCGGAGCCCCGGAGCCCCGGAGCCCGGGGACCAGAAGCAGCAACAGAGAUUUCCGUGCUUCUCCCAAGAUCGGGGAGGGGCUGGAGGGGGCACCAAAGUCGCAGGUGCAGAACAGCAGCGAGAUGCCAAUGCCCACCUCAUCGGAGCAGCGUAGGAAGAGAGGUCAGCUGACCGCAGGAUGAAUCUGGCAGCGCGGCAGAGAAGCCGGUGGGCGCCACUGAAUAGGUUUAGAACUAAGGACAACCUGGAAGCAAUGAACACCCAUCCACCACGCACAUCCAGGAUGAAGUCUCUGAAAACGAUUCUCCACUAAAAGGAACCAGCGCUCCUUUCAGGACUAUAUUUGCUAGUGGAGACGCACAAAGAGAGAGAAGCAAGGAUAAGAGGAGGAGAAAAAGAAGUAACUGCCAGCACCAGUACCAGCUGCCUGCCACGGAGCAGGCCCUGCGCUAGGGCUUCAGUGACCUCGUCUCGUUUUAACCCAACAAGGAAGGAAAAAAAGAAGGAACAAAGAGGUUAAAUAAGUUUCCCAAGGUCAUACAACUAAUAAGUCGUGAAGCUGAACCUAAGUCUACGUCACUGGAAAGCCACACUCUGUCCACCAAGCCAAUAAAAUAUAACCAGAUAUUUUUGAUCUGAGCAGGAUCAAAAAACAUUUUGGAAGUCCUGCAAGGAGACUUGUUCACAGCCCCAUUUAUGUUACCAAGUGAACGAAACAUCCAUCAUUCCCUCAAACUCCCCGUGUAUUAUUUACCUACUAAAACAAGGUACUGGUAGAGAGAACAAAGCAGCAGCAUCCAACAAGGUCAGCCCAGCACUGCCAGCUGAACAAAAAAAUUCCACGAUGCCGGAGCCAAUGAGCGAAGCCCUUAGGUAAGGAUUACAGAAGACCAGCUGUGCCCUGCGUGACGCACAGCAGGCAUGCAGGAGUUCAUCAGAGCCUAUGGCGAGACAGGGCUCGGUGGAGCCUCAUAGGGCAGUCCUUUCUGCAUCAACCCACCCUCUAACUCAUCCAGGAAAAAUCUAGGCCACCUUGAAGUUCCCCCAAGAAACUGCAAAUAUGAUUUGUCUCUGAAAACAAUUUGCCAAAUGUGAAACAGGGAACAGGAAGCUGGUUCGUUAGCUGAGAAAGCAACAAACCAAAGGCCCUCUCCAUAGAGAGACAAUGUUAAAUAAAUGAUGAGGACUUGGGGUAUGA